AUGACCUCCCUCUCUCUCCUACUACCUCCCUCUCUCUCCUACUACCUCCCUCUCUCUCCUACUACCUCCCCCUUCCUACUACCUCCCUCUCUCUCCUACUACCUCCCUCUCUCUUCUACUCCCUCUCUCUCCUACUACCUCCCUCUCUCUCCUACUACCUCCCUCUCUCUCCUACUACCUCCCUCUCUCUCUUCUACUACCUCCUUCUCUCUUCUACUACCUCCCUCUCUCUCCUACUACCUCCCUCUCUCUCCUACUACCUCCCUCUCUCUCCUACUACCUCCCUCUCUCUCCUACUACCUCCCUCUCUCUCCUAUGACCUCUCCUCUCUCUCUCUCUCCCUCUCUCCUACUACCUCCCUCUCUCUCCUACUACCUCUCUCUCUCUCCUACUACCUCCCUCUCUCUCCUACUACCUCCCUCUCUCUCCUACUACCUCCCUCUCUUCUCUCCUACUACCUCACUCUCUCUCCUACUACCUCCCUCUCUCUCCUACUACCUCCCUCUCUCUCCUACUACCUCCCUCUCUCUUCUACUCCCUCUCUCUCCUACUACCUCCCUCUCUCUCUCUCCUACUACUUCCCUCUCUCCCCUAAUACCUCUCUCUCUCCUACUACCUCUCUCUCUCCUACUACCUCUCUCUCUCUCCUACUACCUCCCUCUCUCUCCUACUACCUCCCCAUCUGUCCUACGACCUCCCUCUCUCUCCUACUACCUCCCUCUCUCUCCUACUACCUCCCUCUCUCUCCUACUAUCUCCCUCUCUCUCCUACUACCUCCCUCUCUCUCCUACGACCUCUCCUCUCUCUCUCUCUCCUACUACCUCCCUCUCUCUCCUACUACUUCUCUCUCUCUCCUACUACCUCCCUCUCUCUCCUACGACCUCCCUCUCUCUCUCCCCCCAUCUGUCCUAUGACCUCCCUCUCUCUCCUACUACCUCCCUCUCUCUCCUACUACCUCCCUCUCUCUCCUACUACCUCCCUCUCUCUCCUACUACCUCCCUCUCUCUCCUACUACCUCCCUCUCUCUUCUACUCCCUCUCUCUCCUACUACCUCCCUCUCUCUCCUACUACCUCCCUCUCUCUCCUACUACCUCCCUCUCUCUCCUACUUUCUCCCUCUCUCUUAUACUACCUCCCUCUCUCUCUCCUACUACCUCCUUCUCUCUUCUACUACCUCCCUCUCUCUCCUACUACCUCCCUCUCUCUCCUACUACCUCCCUCUCUCUCCUACUACCUCCCUCUCUCUCCUACUACCUCCCUCUCUCUCCUAUGA
rnacentral:lncRNA from 1 species